rnacentral:rRNA from 12 species
CAAAAUGACUCCGUAACUUCGGGAUAAGGAGUGCCCUCGGGGGUGACGCGACUUGCUCGCAGAGUCCCUAGGGGCCGCAGAGAAUUGGCCCAAGCGACUGUUUACCAAAAACAUAGGUCUGUGCUAAGUCCAACUGACGCCGUAUACAGACUGACGCCUGCCCAAUGCCGGAAGGUCAAAAGGACUUGUUAGCCGUAAGGCGAAGCUAGGAAUUGAAGCCCCGGUGAA